GUUGGUUAUUCCUUAGGCGGUUUACUAACAUUUGAAGCCCUGACUGUUGCUGCAGUUGGGGCUUUGUUC
rnacentral:antisense_RNA from 1 species